GAGAGAGUUCUGGAUCCAGAGUCUGGAGACAGCAGAGCAGGACUGGGCACUUCAGGGAGGGCAUGCCCAUGAAGGAGGGGACUGCUCAUCUGAAAAUACGCCUUCUGCUGCGGCUGCCUCUUAAAGGAAGUUUGCAGUCUACGUGAUGCUGGGGCACUGGAACACGACUAAAAGCAGCAAGAGAGGGAAUCUGGAGGAUAUCUUCCAAGAGGGACUUCAGAAACUGAGAGUUCUCAAUCAAUAAAAUGUAGCCUGCCCUCUGGUGAAACCUAGGAACCAAACACUAAUGACCAUGAACUAUGGCCAAAGACACAGCAUGAAAGUAAUUGCUAAGUGCUAAAAACUUCCUGUGCUAAGCCUUGAAUUGUGUCCUUAGACAUUGCAGCUUGUGUAGAGCAGAGGGGGCAGGUAUAAUCAGCUCUCAUGCCUGCCAGUACCUGAGUCAUAGCUACAAGACAGGAAUUGAUUGAUGGUGAUGGACAAUUGUGUGUCAUCUCUGUCGAUUGAAAUUCAGUGCUCCACAAGGUAUUAGCCUAUCAGUUAUCAAUAUGUUAUUCCCUCUUGCUAAGAAUGUUUCUAACUAGAUGGUAAAGCUUCAGCUGUUUCUGAUUACACCCAUUUAUACGACUCUUGCCCCAUGAACUCUAACAGCUUGGAGGGAUGUUGAAUGUUGUGGCUAUCUCUGUGACAGUUACCUAAUUCUCAACACAAGGAAGACAGAGGCAUGGGUAUGACUUUUCUAGUUGUCUCCACUUAGUGAGGGGCUAUGUUUGAAAGUGGUGAGCUAAGUGAACAAGACUGGAGGUAUUUUGGACCAUGGGCUCCCUUAUCGUGGAAAGUCAAUUGUGCAAGAAAUGUGCAGAUUGCACGGUCAGAUUGCAUAUUAUUCCAAUUCUUAUUGAAGAGAGAGAUUGGCCAGUGGGAGGAGCAAGAUCCAAAGUUGAGGACCCCUCGUUGAAGAGGCUGCCUGCAGUCCCCGCCCCUUUAAAGCAGGGGUUUCUCAAGUGCCACGAUUGACUCCAGCUGUUGUGAAUACUGCACAAGGGUGAAUGAUGGUCUUAGACGUACCAUGGCGUUAAGGUUUGUAGAAGAUAAAACUCUGCACCUGACAACUGAAGGCUCCUGAAUUAUCACUCUUUCCAGUUAUACCUACAAUGUAUUUAAACUUAAUAAAUGUCACCAGGACAGUAGAUUAAUUAAAUAAAAUAUGCUUCACAUCAAUUUGCAUCAAAACAACUCCACUAAGCUGAAUAAGUCCCUGUUUUUUUCAGUAGGAGUCCCAUGCCUCCCCCUUCUCUUUCUUUCCUAUGGCCUUUCUCCAUGUCUGUCUAUCUCUGCAUGUAUAACAAGAACUGCAUAAUGUGGCAGCUACGUUUGUACCUCACCUCCCCAAAUCUUUGAAGCCAUAAAGACAAGGAACAAGUCUCCAGUGUUCCUUACCUCUUUCACCUGCAGUGCUGUUGAUAGCAUACUUCAGUACUCGAUAAAACCUUCACUUCUGUCUCCAACGCGUACUGAAAAACAAUACCUAUGCCAGUUUCCUCCAACUUGCUCUAUUAUGCAAAACCUUAAUGAUGACCUCAUACUCUCUUGUCUCAAGCAAUCGAUGAGCUGGACUCCAUUGUCACAUAGUUCAUUUAUUUGGAAAAGUUAUUCUGCUUUUAACAUUUACUGAGGUCACUGUUAACAUUUUGCAUGACAGAACUGGGGAAUACACAGGCCUUGGUUGUAACUAAACUCAGAUUGCUUAUUUAAUUCAACAUGUCCUUCAACAUUCAAGCAGUUCAUAAGCUACAAUACGCAUUUGCAAUUUAUCUUCUAACGCAGAGAAUGUAUAGGUUUUCAUCCUGUUGAAAUGAAACCUUGUGUGCAACCAUAACUAUGGCAGAAGCUCCACUGUCACAUAAAUACAUCUUAGACAAGAAGCUAAAGAUGUAAUGCAGGAAUUAAAUAAUAAUAAAUACAAAUAGAAAGCAAUCUUUCACAUCAUUAGUAAUACAUAUUUUCUAUUGUUUUGCCAUCUUAGCCAGAUGACAAGCCUGCAUAAUUAGCUAGGCUCUUGUGAAGCCAUGAAGUAUCCAGAGUAAAUUAGGUGAAGAGCCCAAAAUGCAAAAACAAAAGACUAGAUUUAACUAAUAUCCCUGCUCAUAGCUAAGCUAAUUUACUGUGUUAAAUUACAUGGAAAAACACAUUAUAUUGAUUUCUUAUGUACUAAAGAUCUUUGUUUCAUGGUGUUUCUGAAUCUCUGUGCAAUUUUCUGCCAUUCACCAUAUAAUAAAGUGCUACAGUGAUUAUUGCCAUAUAUCCUGAGGGGGAGGGGGUUAGGGUUCUCACCUAGGUUGUGGGAGACUCAGAUUUAAAUCUCAACUCUGAAUGAGCUAGAAUGGAACUUGAACCUGUGCCUCCCACAUCGGUGAGUGACUGACCUACUGGUCUAUUCUGGAGUGAGUGUUUGUGUGUUUUUUGCAUGUAAAAUUCCAAAAGAUCUUGGUGUUGUUCUGAUACAGAAUCGGUGGGAUCCCUUUUUCAGCCAAGCUAUGGGUCUGUUCCUGAUAUUUUUACUUUGGAAAAACUGCCAUUAUGUUAAAGGGAGAUUUGCCCAAGAAGGAAGACAGGAUCAGGCCCUUAGGGCAAAAUCCUGCUCAAUUCAUGUCACUCCAAUUUUAAUCCAGUAGAGUCACACAGGCAUAAAAUUAGAAUAAUGCAGUUGUGAAUUAGGCCUAAAUCUAAUAUUCCAUUCACUACAAAAACCUUGCAUAUACUUUCUGCUAUUUUCCUUUGCUUCCACAGCCUUUUUACUACUUUCUGGAAUGCCACAGUUGAACAUGCGCUUUACUGCUUGACUGGCUUGACUUCACUGGGGCUACAUUUGUGAGUAAUUUAGGCAGGAUAUGGGGAGGUGACCCUACUCUCAGAAAAGUCACUGACAAAACUCCUAUUGACUUUAACAGGAGCAUUGAUAAUAAAAUUACCUCUCCACUUAGCUGUUUUAAAUUCCUGUUAUUUGCUCUUCUGUAUCAACUUCCAAUUACACAUGUAAUUUACAAAUAUUUGCACAAAUCCACACAUAUGCUUUGAGAGCCAACAAGAUUGUGGCACAAUAUAAUAAUAUCAAAAAUGAGUUUGAUAUUUUUAGCUCCUUAUUUCUAAUCACAACUCAUUAAGAUUAACAGUACCUUAUUUCCCCUGGGUUCAUGUCACAGUUACUUUAAAAUCCUGUCUGUUAUGUAGCCUGACAACUUUCGGAGAAAUUACCUCUCAUGGCGUGCUAUAGCUGAGCAAUAAGCUAUUAACAAAAAGCCACUGCUCUGGCUAAGAUUAAAUGUGACGUAUUGGAUUACAAAAUGCUAAAUUUUAUUGUUAUGAGGCUAAUUUUUAGAUGUUUGGUGUUGGUUGCUGGCUGGAAAUUAUUUUAAAAGCAGAGGAGAAUCUAUGUUUUAAAUAGGAUUCUGUUGUAUUAAAGUUCAUUCCAUUAGCAAAGCGU